rnacentral:rRNA from 1 species
CUGUGCAAAGGUAGCAUAAUCAUUAGCUUUUUAAUUGAAGGCUUGUAUGAAGGGUCUGACAAAGAAAAAUCUGUCUUUAAUUUUAAAAUUGAAAUUAACUUUUAAGUGAAAAGGCUUAAUUGAAUUUAAGGGACGAUAAGACCCUAUAAAUCUUUAUAUUAAACUUUUAUUUUUGAAAUUAAUAUUUUGUAUAGGUUAUUAAAUAAGUAGUAAAUAUUUUGUUGGGGUGAUAAGAAUAUAAUUAUUAACUGUUCUAUAUAAACCAGAGUUGUUUGUUAAGUAAAGAUCCUUUAUUAAAGAUUAAAAGUUUAAGUUACUUUAGGGAUAACAGCGUUAUUUUUUUUGAGAGUUCUUAUCGAAAAGAAAGUUUGCGACCUCGAUGUUGAAUUAAAAUUUCUCUACGGUGUAGAAGUUGUAGAUGAAAGUCUGUUCGACUUUUAAAAUUUU